rnacentral:rRNA from 1 species
UACGGAGGAUGCAAGCGUUAUCCGGAAUGAUUGGGCGUAAAGCGUCCGCAGGUGGCAAUGUAAGUCUGCUGUCAAAGCGUCUGGCUCAACCAGAUAAAGGCAGUGGAAACUACAUAGCUAGAGUAAGGUAGGGGUAGAGGGAAUUCCGGGUGUAGUGGUGAAAUGCGUAGAGAUCCGGAGGAACACCAGUGGCGAAGGCGACACGCUGGGCCAUACCUGACGCUAAAGCGCGACAGCAUGGGGAGCAAACGGG